rnacentral:tRNA from 1 species
GUGACUUUGGCCGAGUUGGUCUAAGGCGCCAGACUCAAGAGAAUUUCCUCUUCACUGCUUACAGUGAGCAUUCUGGUCUCGAAAGAGGCGCGGGUUCGAAUCCCACAGGUCACA